CACGUAGGGCGCAAGCGUUGUCCGGAAUUAUUGGCGUAAAGAGCUCGUAGGCGGUCUGUUGCGUCCGCUGUGAAAACUCGGGGCUUAACCCCGAGCCUGCAGUGGAUACGGGCAGACUAGAGGUAGGUAGGGGAGAAUGGAAUUCCCGGUGUAGCGGUGAAAUGCGCAGAUAUCAGGAAGAACACCCGUGGCGAAGGCGGCUCUCUGGGACGGUAUUGACGCUGAGACGCGAAAGCGUGGGGAGCGAACAGG
rnacentral:rRNA from 1 species